UAGAAAAUAGACUAAAUAAGUCAUUAGAUUCAUAAUCUAAAAAUAUAUUAAUUAUUUUUCUAA
rnacentral:tRNA from 1 species